rnacentral:rRNA from 1 species
AAAUGAAUUGACGGGGGCCCGCACAAGCAGCGGAGCGUGUGGUUUAAUUCGAGGCUACACGAAGAACCUUACCUGGGCUUGACAUGGCGGUGGUAGGGAAGGGAAACCGGACCGACCUUCGGGAGCCGUCACAGGUGCUGCAUGGCUGUCGUCAGCUCGUGUCGUGAGAUGUUCGGUUAAGUCCGGUAACGAGCGCAACCCUUGUCGCCAGUUACACGUUGUCUGGCGAGACUGCCCGUGCAAAGCGGGAGGAAGGUGGGGAUGACGUCAAGUCAGCAUGGCCUUGAUGUCCAGGGCUACACACACGCUACAAUGGCCGGUACAAUGGGUCGCCAACCCGCGAGGGGGAGCCAAUCCAAGCAAAGCCGGUCUCAGUUCGGAUUGCAGGCUGCAACCCGCCUGCAUGAAGUCGGAGUUGCUAGUAACCGCCGGUCAGCCAUACGGCGGUGAAUACGUUCCCGGGCCUUGCACACACCGCCCGU